UCAGUUCAUGCUUUCACCGCAUGUGUAGAGUGUGUCGUUAUAGAAAAGGCAAAUACAAAUUUAUUACUUCUUGGCUUUAAGGGAGAAAUGUAAUAAACCCCUUCGUAAAAAGUCAUUGAUUAAACGAAUAAGGACAAUUAUAAGAAAAUGUGUAUAUUGUUCCUCCAUGUAAAUACAAGUCCCGAAUCCAACGAAUACCGAUUAGUUGUGGCUACCAAUAGGGAUGAAUAUUACAAAAGACCUGCCAAAUCAGCAUAUCACUGCCCACAAACUGACGUCAUUAGCGGGCGGGAUAUGGAACCCGGUAGGGAGGGUGGUACCUGGCUAGGUUUCGGUUCCAAACCAGUUCAAGAAAAUGGAAAACCCCCGAAACAUUGUUUUGCUUGUCUGACAAACAUUUCCGGUACAAAAAUUGACCAUGCAAUGGGCAGAGGGGAACUAGUCAUAAACUACUUGGAGUCAGAGCUGGACUUUCCACAAUAUAUUGAGGAUUUAGACAAACAAUCUAAGGUUUUUAAUGGCUACAAUUUGAUCGGAGUUGAAUUGAGCAAAGACGGUUCCGCUAAAACAUUUCACAACAGUAAUUUUCCCAGAAUAGAUUCCGUGUAUACGGGAACUCAUACUUUGGCAUUUGGAAACACUUCAAUUAGUUCGCCUUUGAUUAAGGUUUUGAAAGGCAAAGAUAAAUUCGAGGAUAUCUUGGAUAAAAAGUUAGACCAGUCUACCCUACAAGAAGAACUGCUGCAGUUGCUCAAAGAUGAAACAAAGUACUUCCCCGAUAGGCAGUUAAUAAAACGAGACCCGACCAUCGCUGAACAUCUGUCACAGAUAUAUGUCAAAUUCCCAGAAGCCGGUUAUGGAACGCGAACCCACACGAUUAUUUUAAUCGACAGAGAUUGGAAUUUGGAGUUUCUAGAGCAUACAAUGGAAGAACCGAUCAACGUGGAAAAUCCAAAGUGGAAAGUUACAAGUAUUAAGUCUCGAUUAUAGCGUCAGAAACUAAAGAGGGAGACUUGUCUCGAUAGAGUGAUGUGAUAUUAUUUCAAUUUAUUGAGGUUGAUUAGUGGAAGAUCAGUCAACCUCAUUUCCAUAAACAAAAAGGUUGGAACCAGUCCAAAUUCAUAUUUUAAAAGAGAGGAAAAAUAUAAUUA